rnacentral:rRNA from 1 species
AGCGAACGCUGGCGGCAGGCUUAACACAUGCAAGUCGAGCGGGCGUAGCAAUACGUCAGCGGCAGACGGGUGAGUAACGCGUGGGAACGUACCUUUUGGUUCGGAACAACACAGGGAAACUUGUGCUAAUACCGGAUAAGCCCUUACGGGGAAAGAUUUAUCGCAGAAAGAUCGGCCCGCGUCUGAUUAGCUAGUUGGUGAGGUAAUGGCUCAACAAGGCGACGAUCAGUAGCUGGUCUGAGAGGAUGAUCAGCCACAUUGGGACUGAGACACGGCCCAAACUCCUACGGGAGGCAGCAGUGGGGAAUAUUGGACAAUGGGCGCAAGCCUGAUCCAGCCAUGCCGCGUGAGUGAUGAAGGCCCUAGGGUUGUAAAGCUCUUUUGUGCGGGAAGAUAAUGACGGUACCGCAAGAAUAAGCCCCGGCUAACUUCGUGCCAGCAGCCGCGGUAAGAC